rnacentral:lncRNA from 1 species
AUGUUUUAAGAUAGCCCCUAUAAACAACAUGAGUUGUCUUCUAGAACCGUUUUUGUGAUAUUGUGUUCUGGCUUUUCAAAGAACAAGUUAUAAUAUCGCGAAUUGUUCAGCUAUUGCAGCUAUAAGGACAUUUUAACUUUGUUAAGAAUAGCUUGGCUUAGCUAUGAUUUUUUAGUGCCACUAAUCCUGAUUAUUAGGCAAAUAUUCAUUCUUUACUCUAGCUAAUUAUAUUAUAUGCCUCGCCCUUGUGUUAUUUACUUAAUAUAAUAAAUAUUGUAAUAAAAAAUUGAAAAACUAUUGAGUUGUUUAUUAUUGAAUGUUGAAUGUCUAUUAGUGUUGAUUAUAGAGUAGAUGCAUCUCUGUGUUUUUUUUUUUUGUAAUUGAUGAUUUUUUUUACCACACAUGUAGUUCAUAUUUCUAGUUAUUCUGAAUAAAGUUAAACACCCUAGUGGGCCACGGCAAAAGAAGAGCUCACAACUCAGAAGUGUGAAGACUUGGUCUAAUCUGUAAUCACAGGUAACAGUUUCAAAAAAAGAAGUAAUCACAGGUAACUUGGGCUCACUGAUCACUUGGCCCAUAUGUUAGUUGUGAAUACGACCAGGCCUCACGGCUCAGGUGGCACCAGUCCAGAAGCUUGGUCCACGAACGGCCUAGCAGAUCAGUCACCGGAAAUCUCGACUUGGGCCACGUUCACAUCAGCUAGCCAAGCAAUGACGGCCCGUCAUGUUAAAAUUCAUUACACUUUGUAAAAUCAAUACCUCUAGUAUUCGAAUAUUCACUUUGCGAGAAGCUGCUAAAGCUAGAGUGAGGUUAAAGAUGGCAGGGCUAGUCGCGAUCUUGUGAUAACCAAUCCAAUUUGAGACAAUAAAACUAAACACUAAGUAGUACCGCUUGGCAACCUAAGGCCCAAUUAAGGUUCCAGUCUCUCCGUUCUGCUCAGCCUCACCCUGUUCGCUUGAGCUUAUCUAUUAAAUCUGUCAACUAUUUAGGAAUAUUUUUCUUUCAUAAGAAAUAAGCGAACAAUACUUUUAGACAUGACCUUUCAGCCAAGCAAACAGGGUAGCUUGCAUUAGACGGAGGGGGCGGUGGGGUCGCAGCUCGCGAGUGCACGAUGAGCAAGCAACCACAUCUUCACUUCCAUAGAUUCAAACUAAACAUGUAGAAAUCAUUCAAUGAGAGUUUCAUUCAAGACUAUGCAGACCGCUUAGAAGAAUUGUUACUCCAAGAACUUCUCAAGCCUUUGAUGGGGUUAAAAGGUUAGGUCCACUAGGACUCUUCGGCAAAGGUUUCUUUGUCUCUUCUUUAAAAAUUUUCCUGUUUGGUUGUUGGCAUUGUUAUCUUGUGGCUGUGCUGAUUUGCAAGUUGGGUGGUGUUGUUAGAGUUUGUCCUAGUCGUCAUAGUUCUUUGUUUCCUAUUGUAACCUCCUUUGAGGACGCCAUUUGCUCACUUUGGGUCUUCUUCUUUAUCAACAUAAUUGGUAAUGCCUCUGUCCGGUCCAUUUAAAAAAAAAUCAUUCAAUAGUCAAAGUUUCAAAAGGAUUGACGUAAGACUAACUGAAAAUGCAUGGUAUUUAAUUAAUUAUUUGUAGUCAAUGAUGUCUUUGAAAUGAUUGACCUACGACAACUUCAAAAUGUCACUUAGUUGGAGUAUAUACUUUUGGCAAGUUUCCCUCCAUCCGAAAAUAUUAAACACAUUUUUGUAGGACAGCAAUGAGUUGAACAAGUAGCUUCUCCACUAAUAUGUAUAAAUCAUAUAUAGGUACAUUUGAAUACAAAUCUUUUUUUGUGAAAUCUUUUGAAUACAAAUCUAGCUAGUUACACCAAUUUUGUACCACAAAAUUUUAAGUAUAGGUCAAAGCCAAGUCUAACAAAACAUGAGUUUUGGCAUGGAGGAAAUAUUCACAGGUGCGUUUAGUAUUAACUAUAGAUCUCUUCUGAAACUAUAGAUCCCCCUACUGUUUUCUAGUUUUGUUUUGUAUUUGUUCAGAUGAAUUUUGAAUUGUUUAAAGACUAUAGCAUGUCGUCAUAUAUCAGGGCAUAGUUGUUCUCGUUUCCACCGUGCGAGUAUUUUUUUUCAAGUGGCGAGUUGAUUAAAACCAUUUUAUCAUUAUUUCUUAAAUCUCAGUCCCAUCUUCAAGUCCUCGAGUCUGCAGUCCAGUUGCAUUACUGACCAAGUGUUUGGGAGAGGUAUAGUCUUGACCAAGAGUUGUUUGGGUAGUAAGCACUUAAAACAAAAUUGGUAAAACUAAUGAUAGUUUUGUGAUAGUCCCAUCUUCGAAUCCUCGAGUCUACAACCCAGUUUUUCGUUAGGUACAUACUACUUCCUCUAUUUUACAAAUUUAUAAAAACUUUAUAGCAUUUUAGUUCAGUUUUGAUAUCUAAAUCUUUAAUGUGAAACGAGCUAAGGUUUAGAGCUAACAUUAGAUCACCUAUUUGGAGACUUUAGCUCUAUAGUUUAGAUGAGUGAAUUCAAAAUAGAUCCUUAUAAAAUUGGUAAAACGCAUGUUGCAGAUAUAUAGUGAACGAAGCAUAGAAAGUCAUGGAGGAACACACAUAAGUCACAUCAUGCAUAUGGCGCAUGCAUGCAUAACACAAUUUGCAAACAAAAAGAUGUGUGUAUCAUAAGGUAGCAACAGUGAACAUAGUACAAACCGGGAUCUCCUCCAAAAUCGUACGAAGACGGAUCGGAGGAGCAAAGGACAUGAACGGUUCCUCUCUCUCUCACGUACACACACACAUGUUGACGUACACGCUACACAGGCGUAUCACAGCGUAGUACACGACGACACGUACGGACGGAGAGAUUUUAUUCAGUAUAGUACGUAACAGUAGGCAACUCAUCAUCAUCAUCCAUGCGUAGAUAUAGAUCGAUACUCAUGGAGUCAUGAUCGAUGCUCCGGCGCCGAUCGACGACGGCGGAAAUGGAUCAUCGAUCGAUCAGGCGGCCGCCGCCGCCGUCGUCGUCUAGCUAGGUUUAGUUCACCCUGCAUGAUCAUUCAUGGAAAUGGGAAAAAAAAAAACACACAAAUUAGACGACGUGCGUGCGUACUUGUUGAUCGAGUCAGUACAUGCAUGCAAAAGUAGUAAAAUAUACUGUUACGUACUAUACUGAAUAAAAAAGCCAAUUCAUUCAGAUGAUCGAUGACUUGGCUUAGAUCUUACGGUAGGGUCGGUCGUACUCGUACGUACCUGGAGCAGUCGAUGGAGGCGCUGAUGGUGUAGGGGAUGUUGACGCCGCACUUGGAGGGGAUGCUGGCGGCGUUGCCGGCGUUGAGGCCGCUGACACGUCCGGCGGCGCUCUUGAGGCAGUUGCAGGCGGUGCGCUUGUCGGCGGUGCUGCUGGCGGCGGAGUUGAGGCUCCUGACGCCGCUGCAGCAGGCCGCGGAGGGUGCGGUGCCGGUGCCGCGGGCGUAGGCGAGGCAGGGGCUAAUCGCGGAGUUCACCUGCCCGCAGGUGACGGCGGCCUCCGACGUCGUCGUCGCCGCUGCCAGCAGCACCGCGGCCACGACGACGGCGAUCAUCGCCACAGCAAACUGCAUGCUGCGUGCCAUGUCGAUCGAUCGAGCUAUUCGUGUGUGCUGAGUGAUCUGAGUGCCUGACUGUGUGCUAGUAUGCUAGCUUUGGAAUGCAGUGAGAGCAAGUGCUAGCUGGUGAGGAGAAUAUGCAGUGAAAUGUUGGUCCUUAAAUAGGCUUGAGAUCGAUCUGAGAGCUACAAUGGCUGAUGACAGAUGUCAUGCAUGGUGUGUGCAUGCUGUUUCUUUCGGUAGAACAUCAUCAUCGUACAGUUAAGAGCCGGGCAGGAGGAGGUGGUUGGGUGUUGGGGGCAGGAGGCAGAUGGAGGAUGUGGAUGGAAAUACACAUAUGCAGUGGUUAGUGGAUGCAGAGUGAAUUCAUCAUCAGCAGCAGCAGCAGCAGCAAACUUAAUAAAUAGCAGCCGCCUAACACGACUUAAUAAUAAAUUAAACAGUUAAGCGUCAUUUAAUCUCAUCACCCGCCUCACUGAUUAAUCGAAUGAGGCCUUGUUUAGUUCACCCCAAAAUCCAAAAAUUUUUCAAGAUUCACUGUCACAUCGAAUCUUGGGGCACAUGCAUGGAGCACUAAAUAUAAACAAAAAUAAAAACUAAUUGCACAGUUUAUCUGUAAAUCACGAGAUGAAUCUUUUAAGCCUAGUUACUCUAUAAUUGGACAAUGUUUGUCAAAUAAAAACGAAAAUGCUACAGUUCCAAAAACCAAAAUGUUUUCGGAACUAAACAAUAUAUAGCCUCCCACAGGCUCACAAAAUCUGAGAACUCACCUAUAUGUGGCCAAUUCAUCUAACAUAGCCUUUUGGACCGUGUAUUUUUUCCUUCGAGUCUUUUGAUGUAACAGCGGUUCAAUUGCCUUGACCGAUGUUCCAUUGAUCCAAUUCGAUGUCACGAAAGAGGCUAUAUUUUUUACAUUGCCUGUGGUGACUAUAUAUAGUUAAUGAAUUGAAGAGCUUGUGAUCAGAUUUGUCACAAGGAAUCUCCGUAUUGCUCCACGCUCUUUCCUUUUGUUUCUACUUAAACCAUAGCCGUCAUCUCAAUUGGACAAUCCCUUCGCCUUGGGAAGGGCGUGGUGGUGGACUAGUUGAUCAACGAAUGUCCUCCAAUGAUGUUCUCAAGUGGUAUUUCUCCUCGCCAAAGAAAAUUACGCCACAUCCUGUCUAUUCUUUUGAGCCUGGAACACUAUCAAAUGGUAUAUUAUUGGCAGCGUCAUUAGAAUCAUUUCUGUACUGGUGUUUCUCUAUUAGAUGUUGGCAGGAAUUUUCCUUUCCACCCCGGGAGCCUGGCACCAAAAUCUUUUCUAUCAGUGGCUAGACCUCCCUCCUUUCUUAAUUUCCGGGUAUAUGUAAUUGAAGCCCUAAAUAUUUUCCCUGGGAAGUUGUGGAUGAGCGAAGGGACCAUGUUAGGUUGGAGCCAUAUUGGAAAAAAAAAAUAGUCUUGGACAUGUUAAUUUUUAGCCCUGAACAAUUUCCAAAGAAAUGUAGGAAUUUUGUAAGCUGCUCAACUGCUCUGAAGAUGGGUUUGCAAACAAACCCACAUUUUAUUUGUGUAGAGAGAGCACCACAAGUUUGCUGCUUCCGGUACAACCAGUUGUAGGAUAUCCUGUUGUGCCGCUCAUAUUCAAUGAUUUGUUGGUAGCGGGUCUACUGCUAACAUGCAUGAAAAGUAGGGGCCGGGAAAGCGGAUUGCUUUGCCUCAAUCCUCUUGCAUGUUUGAUGUUUUGACUCGAUCAUCUAUUUAUGAGAAUUUUGGAUGAGAAGGACCCUAAGUUUCUUUGAUAUCCAAUUAGGUCAUUUUGUGCUAAAACCAAGCGCAGUUAGAAAUUCCAGAAGGUGUGCCAUUCUAUGGAGUCGAAAGCUUUGGAGAUGUCCAGUUUUAUAAAUAGAUCGAGUGAGCUGAUUUUUUUCUGUAGAAGUUGAAUACUCUUUGUACAUAAAGAAAAUUGCCCCUUUUAUUGAUGAAUGCAUUUUGAGCAUGUGAAACCAACUCAUUCAUAUAUGGAGCUAGUCUAUUUGCAAAGAUUUUCGUAAUGAUUUUUAUGAGGCUGUUAAUUAGGCUAAUCAGUCUCUAUACUCAAACAUUGUUUGUGCUUCCUACUUCUUAGGGAGUAGAACUAUACUUGCUUCAUUAAACAACUGCAUUUUUGCAGUCCUAUGGUUGUCGUUCUUGAUUAUAUCCCAACUCUUCUUAUAGAAGAUCCCGAUAAGACCAACUAGUCCUGGGGCUUUCUACGACGGAAGCUCCUUGAUUAUGGUAAGUAGCUCCUGCUCUGUAAAUGGCAUGUCUAGUUCAUCAAGGUUAUGUGGAGAGUAACCCAACGUCUCCCAAUUGAUUGACUAUAUGUUCUUGUAGCUCUUGUUCCCUGGCUUUGGCGAAGAACUCAACAGGGGACCUCUGUUCCCACGUUGGGAAAUUGCGACCCUCUCCUCAAUGUGAAUUGUGCUUAUAUAUUUUUCCUUCGUCUAGCGUUUGCAUGUAGUUGGGAAAAAUGAGUAUUAGUAUCAUCAUUCCAUAUUUAGCUAGGUCAGUCAAAAGUGUUGUCUCGCCUUUGCUUUCUGUAUUGCGAUUAGACCCAUUGAUUUUGCCUUAAGAUAUUUCUUGAAUUCCACUUCUUCUAUUGUCAGGGGACGUCUUUUCUGUGCCUUCUCUAGCUCUCUAUAGGAUGAUGUGAAGGACGUCAUUCCCUAGUUUCCAUUCAGUAAACAGUGUAUGCUUCCAUACUUUUAACGCUCUUGCCAUGCGGAGGAGCUUGGUGUUUACUGUCUGUUCCCAUGUUGAACCAUCUAUAUAAACCCCAGCAUAUUUACCCAAUAGUAAAAAUGGAAACCAUGGCAAAAUUCAAAAGUAAUAUCCUCUACAAGAGCAAAAGACCAUGGUCCCAUUAUUUUGCUAUGUGAGCCCACUCCUCUUAUUUUUCACCUUUAUUUUGAUUAUGCUACUCAAGUGUUGUAUCUGACUUUUAUUUUUUGACUUGGCUUACUCCUCUUAAGAUGUCAUUUGUUCCAAAUCCUUAAUGUUGGAAGUGGUUAGAAUUCCUCUAGUAGCGGAGGUCAGUCGAGCCUACUCGCUCGCUGCAGCGAGAGGCUUGAGUGUGCUAACAAUCAAGGAAGAGAGAGCUCGAAACCCUAGAACAGUAGUGUUUCAGUAAAUUGGUUUCAACUAACUCUUGAAAGAGCAUUUAUAACCCCUUUAUAUAGGGUGCGGAUCCCAACCGAGAUCCGUUACAGCAAUGCCCCAUGACGGUGGCGGGAUAUUCCAGCAUAUUUCGCCACUACAAUCUAUAACCCACAGGGCUACUUGAGUAAUUUCGAACUGCAAGCUCUUUGCAGGCUGUCGCGUCGGAGUCCUGGUCCUAUCGUAGCUCGAUCCUUCUCCUAUCCUUCGUCGAGGCUCAUAGAUCCUCCGCCUUGCGGCCGACGAGGGAUCUUUGUCCGCCACUCAGAGGUUCUUCGGCUUGGUCGGGGUCAGCACGUCCUUCAUCACGCAAGGGCUGAAGGAUGGGCCCUUACCCCCUGUGAUUCUCCGCUCCAGGUUGGUUCCUGCACACAUGUCUCACCAAACCGAUCUGCAUCAGCAUUAAAUUUUUCCGAACCUUCGUCCCUUAUCGUCCGAAGGUUGGGGGCAUGAAGGUUCGGUCAUCGCGAUCGAGUUACAUCUUUUCUCUCCGAUGCAGCUAGGGGGUGAAGGCGUGGUUGAGUUCUCAAUACUUAAAUAUAUAAUUUGUCCAUACACAAAUUUCAAGUCGUUUUGGACAUGAUUUAGGAUGCCAAGAAGUGAUUAAUCAGAUGUAUUUUUUCUUAUCAGCACCUAUUAUUAAAUAGAGUUCGGGUUUCUCCAUAGAUCAACCACUCGUCGCUAUACUGGCAAGCAGUGUGAAGCCCAAGGUGUUAGGUCUUAGGUUUAAUCCCUUGCUUUCAGUUCUUUUUUAAUUGGUGGUCGUUUUUUUCCAUAGCCUGCAUGGCUAAGCGAUACAAUUGGCUCUUCGACGUUCGAGUGUGUGUGAAGUGAGAGGAGCCAUGAUUUACUUAUGAAUGCACAUGGCGUGAGAGGAGGCACGAGUUACUUUCCUCUUCAAGACUGAGACUGAGCGACUGGACACGGGAGACGAAGGACCGGGGGGUGAUUAACUUUGUUCAAAAUGUUGUUAAAGAUGCAAAAAGACUUCAAUUGUGAACACCCCACUCACCAUCCAAAACUACUUUAAUUUGAAAUAUGAAGGGAGUCUUCACAAAGUUGUGAAUAUAAGUUAUGUUCCGUAAAAUAUUAUGAUAAAAGUUGUGUGUGUAACUUGGUACGUUUGAUUGAGUGCAGCGUGAUCUAUUUUUCUCUUCGAGAGUGGUUGACUCGACAUGGGAGACGAAGGACAACCAGGGUGGAUUCAUGCAAAAUGACUUCAAUUGUGAACACCCCAAUCACCCUCCAAAACAACUUCAGUUUUGAGUACGGAGGGAGUAUCAUUAUUCCUGUUAUGUAAGCCCACUUUUAGGUCCAGAUUAAUUAGCUUUACUGCAUAUAUGUAAAUAUGUCAAAUAUAUACUUUUUGAAAUAAACUAUAUUCAAAACAAAUCUACCCACAUCAUCACUUCCAUACAUUCAAACUAAACAUGUAAACAUCAUUCAAUAGUCAAGAGGUUUCGAGAUGAUUGACGUAAGACAACCUGAAAAUGUCGAUUUAAUAAAAAAAUCAAAGCAUUUGUCGUCAAAGUAAUUUUUGAAAUGAUUGACCCACAUCAUCACUUUAAUACAUUCAAACUAAACAUGUAGUGUUAAUAAUUAUACAUCUUCUGCUACCUACCAAUAAGCCCCUCACGCAGCACACGGCUCCGUUUUCUAGUUUUUGUCUUGUAUUCGUUCAUCAGAUGAAUUCUGUAUUUGAAGAGCAGUGCGUGUCGCCACCUCAUGAAAAAAGCGUGCCAGCUAGGUACUUGUUUUAAUUUCCACCGUGUGAGUAUUUUUUUUGAAGUGGUGAGUUAAUUAAAUGAAACCAUUUAAUUUUUCGAAUCACAAAGUCUGCAACCCAGUUUUGCAACCAUAUAGCGAAUGAAGCAUAAUCGAAAAGUCAUGGAACACAGUCACAUCACAUGCAUGGCCCACAUGCAUGCAUAACGACAAUUUGUAAACAAAAAGAUGUGAGUGCAUCAUAAGGUAGCAGUGAUCGAACAAAAUACGUGUCCUCCAAAACCGUACGGAGAACGGAUCGGAGGAAGUAUGUUUUUGACGAUGGUAAAGUUUAUUUUGCGUAUAUGCUUUCACUUUUUCAUCCAUUAGAAGUGUGCAAACACACAUCUCAAUGUGUGAAACUGCUUUAAGAUAUGUGUUUACACACUUCUCAAAGCGAGUCCAAUAGAUGGGAGAGUGAGAGUAUAUGCCCUCAAGGACAAAAAAAAACAAAAAAAACUUUUGACGAUAAGAUGUAGUGCCCGUUUUUCAUUAAGUGGAAAUGAUCGUAGAAAGUACACGGAAACAACAAGCCAAAGGACAUCUCUCUCACACACACGUACGACACGGACGUACAUACGGAGAGAUUUUUUAUUCAGUAUACGACGUAGCAGUAUAUAUAGUAGACAACUCAUCAUCACCCGUAGAUAGAUAGAGACUCAAGCAUGGUCGUCGUCGAUGCUCCGGCGCCGACGACGGCGGCGGAAUGGAUCAUCGAUCGACGAUCAUCAGGUCGUCGUUUCGGUUUAGCUCACCCUGGAGCAGUCGGUGGAGGUGCUGAUGGUGUAGGGGAUGCUGACGCCGCACUUGGAGGGGAUGCUGGCGGCCUUGCCGACGUUGAGGCCGCGGAUGCCACGGGCGGCGUUCUUGAGGCAGUUGCAGGCGGCGCGCCUGUCGGCGGUGGUGCGGGCGGCGGAGUUGAGGCUCCUGACGCCGCUGCAGCAGCCUGCGGAGGGUCCAGAGCCCUGGCCGCGGGCGUAGGACAGGCAGGGCCCGAUGGCGGAGCUCACCUGACCGCAUGUCACGGCGGCCUCCGAGGUCGUCGCCGCCAGCACCACCGCCGCCACGACGGCGAUCGCCACAGCAAGCUUCAUGCUGCGAGCCAUGUCGAUCUCGAUCGACCUCCUGUGAUAUAUGUGCUGAUGCUCGUAGGUGACUGAUAGCUUUUGGGAUGCAGUGAGUGAGCAAGUGCUAGCUGGUGAGGAGAUUGCAAUGGAAUGUUGCUCCUUAAAUAGGCAGGCUUUGUGAUCGAUGUGUGAGCUAGCUAGCGAUUGCUGAUGAGUGAUGUGCAUGCAUGGGAUGGGUGUGCAUGCUGUUUCAGUCGGUGGAUGCAUGCAUAUGCGUAUAUGUCCAUGGAUCGAUGGUAUCUCUCGCCAUGCAUCGAAGUUAACUGCUGGGGAGGAGGUGGUUGGGUGUUGAGGGAGGAGGGCAGAUGCUUGUUUAGUUGUUGUAAUACCCGAUUUUAAGGACAAAACCAGAUAUGCACCAUAUGUGAGUUUUAAAAGCCAAAUCUCACAUAUAGCUACAAAUAAGGGGUAAUAUCAAAAGACAAUGCAAAAAUUAUAUAACGUACAUAAUAUAAAAGAGAUAACCUUUGAUAGCAAACAACGGAUAGACAACUCCAAACUCCGGGUAUUAACUUCUCUCUACAGGAUCCAACUGACUGGUUGAUCACAAGCCUAAACUUCUCCUGAGGUUUGGGGGAAAUAGCAAGAGUGAGUCCAUGUCAAACUCCACAAGUAUAGCAACUAGAUUGUAUAGCUCCCACAAUCUCAUGAUCAAUGUGACAUAAAUAAUGUAAAGCAUUAAACAAUAAGCAAUGAGCAUAUUUAACACACAAGAUUCAUCACCCUUAAUGUAGAUGUCCCCAAGGCCGUUCCUGACCGUGAGCUCGGCUAGUAUACUAGUUUUAACACUCUGCAGAGGUUGCACAUCUUUACCCAUGAGUCAUGAUUUACCCUUUCGCCCGAGGUGAUCAGCCUCUUAACCCACUUCCAAGGAAGGUCGGCAGGGAUCACUAUGAAGCCUUUCAAAAGUUCGUCUAACAUGUUAGGGCCGCAAGGUUUCCUUUGCGAGCAGAUAUAGAUACCCCCCUUCCGAAUGGCACAAUGACGCGCAGCCUAUACACAUAGGGACAGGGGCUCGCACUAUACCCGUGUCGGUUCAGCCCCUCCGCCCUUUCGGGUAACCUCUAACAAGCUAGAAAAGGUCUUCAUACUGAGCUAAAGCCAGAGCCAUUAUAGCCCUCAUGGUUGCACUGUUAUCCCGGGUGAUCACGUACAGACAAAUCAUCAAGUUGUUAAAAAGUCAUUUUUACCAUUUAUUACUUAACAUUAAUCUAGUCACAGGAUCAUGGUCACAGAAAUAAAAUCCAAAUGCUAUACUUGCCUCAAUCCAAUUGCUCUUGCUUAUCCUUUUGGUCCUGCUGGUCUCACUUGUUGCCAAAGCUUUGAUCUUGAUCACCGAAACUGCUCUCCGUCUAAACUCGAUCAUCGAUCAUCAACACACAAACAAUCGGACACAACAUACACGUAGCAAACAAGGCUAUAAUUAGAACAGUACACCAAUCAUAUAAAAACAAUAUGAAAAAUUUGUAAAAUAAUUCUACGCAUCGCUACGAUCUCACAGACGUAAAGAUGACGAAAAUCGGAGUUAAAACGGAAAAGAUAUGGAUUUUCUAAGAUUUUAUAUAGAAAAGUAAUUAAUUAAUUAAGGUCACGAAAUUAAAAGGUUUCAAACUGAGUGAACAAUAUUACUAACAUGUAGUGCUCGUGAUUACGAACCUAACACAAUUUCAAUGGACAAAACGGAGUUAAAACAGAGAUGAUAUGGCCUAAAUAAACUAGCGUAUUUUCUUUGUAUUUUUAGGUUUGUUUUUCUAAAGGAAAACGGCAAUAAAACAUGUCUAUGUUAUAACGACGUCAUCAAGCUAGCCAGCAACGUUUAUUCGCAGAUAUAUGUUAGACAUGUACAUCCCUAGAUCGAUUGCUGCGCAGAUAGAAACAUCGCCGGGCGAAACAAAUCAGUGCAUGCACUUGUAGAGGCUUUGUGAAAUUUCUCACACAGGAAUCGACAUAUUAAAGAUGCAAAGUUACCUCUUAUGGUGAUUAUAAGAUUCAAUAGGACAUGCUUGCCGAACGAUGGGUCAGUGGCCACGUCGUCAAGAACAGGUUGAUCUACGGCAACACCUUCUACUCCCGUGCUCUGUUGCUUGCUACUCUUCACGUGGCCAGCGAUUUGGUCUUCUGCUUCUUUGGUCCACAAUCACGAUGGUUCACCGGAACAUGGCAAGCAGCUCUGGCAAGCAGGACGUGGCAAGAGCAGAGCGGCGGCCGUAACAUGGCAAGGGCAGCAUCUAUCUAGGCAUGGCCGACGGCGGCGGCUCUCAAGGGUUUUAAGGACGUAAACACUCUAGACGAAUAUGACGUGUAUAUAUACGUGCGGUCUAGAUCAAGUUUGAUUAGGGUUAGAACUUAUUAUUUUUGGAAUUAAUUAUUUUCAUGGAUAAAAUAAUUAUAGAAAAGUCCAGAAUUAUUAUUUAAACUAUGAAAAAUAUUCUAAAAGCUCUGAAAAUUCGGAGAAAAUUCUCAGAGACAUUAUGGAAUAUGAGGAACUCAAAUAACGUAUUUGGACCUCAUGAUAAGAUAAUUUGGAGCAUCUAAAAAUUAGAUUUAUGCUCAUAGAAAAGUGAGAAUAGAAGAUGGAAAAAUUCCCGAAAAGUUUGUAGAGAUUGCUUGAUGGACGAGGAACUAAAAGAAGUGCUUUGAGUGACAAAGAAAAGAUUUUAGGAAGCUCCUAAUAAAAAAUUGAGCUGAGAAACCAAAGAAUUUGGUUAUAGAUAAAGAUAAAGACGUACUGGUCAAGGAAGAUCUACUAAACGCAUUUUAAAACUUUGCUCACUCAACACAUAAAGGAGCAACAAGUCAACAUCACAUCAAAACAUAUGCACCAGCAUGUAUGCACAACAAUAUUGCUAAGGCUUAUGAUAAAUUUUAAUUUAAUGAAAAUUAUUAUUUUCCUUAUAUUUUCGUGAGCACAAAAUACAAAACUGAAUAAAUUUUCAUCUAUUUUGAAAAGAGCAAAAUUUAGGGUGUUACAGUUGUCAAAAUUUUUUAAAAUUCUCAAUCAAAUUAAAUCUUGGGACACAAUGUAUCAAAUAUUAAAUAUAGAUAAAAAUUAAUUAAUUAUAUAGUUUGUAUAUAAUUUGCGAGAUAAAUUUUGUAAACCUAGUUAAUCUAUAAUUAAACAAAAAUUAUUAAAUAUAAACGGUGCUAUAGUAACUAGAUCCAAAAAUUUUCACCAACUAAGGGCUUGUACAACGAUGGGCGCUUAUGAUCAGGUAUUGGCCGUUAAAUAGUUUUUUUGCCACACGGUGGAGUCCUGAGCGGGCGCUUAAAAAUAGAUUUGCCGCUCCGUAAAGCAUCGACGCCUAGACCGGCUCCUUGCUUGAUACUGGUGUUUGCAUGCGACGUAACGGUCACAACUUAAGCGCCUUCAAAUACGUGUUGUGUUGUAGAUUAAGGUUAUAAAGAGACGCUUAGUUACAAAAGUAUUUUCUCUUUCCAUCUAAGCGCCUUUUGCAUUGUACGUGCUCUAAACAAGGCCACAGAUACAGACAUACAGUGGUUAGCUGAGGCAGAGUGAAAUCAUUAGCAGCAAACAUAUAAUAAAUAGCAGCCGCCUAGCACGACUUAGCGCCACUUAAGUUUUGUUUAGUUACGCUCGAAAUCCAAAAACUUUUCAAGGUUCUCUUCACGUCGAAUUUAGAGACACAUACAUGUAGCACGACUUAGCGCCACUUAAGUUUUGUUUAGUUACACUCGAAAUCCAAAAACUUUUCAAAGUUCCCUUCACGUCGAAUUUAGAGACACAUACAUGAAGCAUUAAAUAUAAAUAAAAAAAUAACUAAUUACAUAAUUUAUCUGUAAUUUGAGAGACGAAGCUUUUGAGUCUAGUUAGUCUAUAGUUGAACAAUAAUUAUCAAAUAUAAAAAAAAAUGUUAUAGUACCAAAAAAAUCUUUUCACUCACGAACUAAAUAAAGGCCCUAAUCUCAUCAUCCGCCUCACUGUUUAAUCGAAUGUCCUUGAUGGCCACCCACAGGCUCACAAAACCUGAGACGGUGAGACCUUGCCUGGGGUAGUAUAUGGGGCCAAUGGCCAAUCCAUUUAUCAGUUUGCCCAAGGCAGGUGGUGGGCCACUCUGUUCAAUUUUGAGUCUAAUAUAUGCAAUAUCUUCUCUUUUGUGCAAUUUUUGUCCGUGGGUUCAAACAAUCCUGCCACCGUGUCACCGGUGGCUGAUCGUGUCAACCCUUCGCCGCAGUCCGCUCCACCACAGUACGGGGGGCCCAGUUGCAGUCUCUGCCACCGCAGUAGGGAUGUUGAACUUGUAAUAAUAAAUAUGUGAGUGCUUUUAAUAUAUAAUGCAUGUUGGUGAUAUAGAUGUGAUAAUUGGCGUGUGUGUAUAUAUAUUGUCUGUUACAAUGGAAUGUAAAAAAUAAAACAAAUACAAUUCUCGGGGUCUUCGCCGAGUGCGGUGCCAGGGUCACUUGGCAAAGCAAUUUAAAAAAACAAUUUUGCCGAGUGUCGGGGCCACGACCACUCGGCAAAGAAUUUUUCUUUAAAAAAGAAAAGACACUUUGCCGAGUGCUGAUGCUAGGGGCACUAGGCAAAGUAUUUUUAAAAAAAACAAAUAUGCGGAGUGCCGCGGCAAGGGACACUCAGCAAAUAUUUUUUUUUUAAAAAAAAAGAAAGAAAAUCUUUGUCGAGUGCCUGAGGCCAGAGGCACUUGGCAAAGCAAUUUUUUUUAAAAAAACUUUGCCGAGUGUUAAGGGGCCAGGGGCACACGGUAAAAUAUUUUUUAAAAAACAAAAACUUUGUCGAGUGUCGUGUCGGGCAACUCGGCAAAAUAACUGUUAACGGCAGAUGCUGUGACGGCCAAAAAUGUUGCCGAGUGCUGUCGUAAGCACUCAGUAAAAUGUUUUUAAUAUUUUGCUAAGUGCCUCGGUAAAAAGCACUCAGCAAAGUCUCUUUGUCGAAAAUUUUUUUGCCGAGCGAACUUUGCUGAGUGCUACGUUCGGCAAAGCCUUUGCCGAGUGCAAAGGGCUCUUUGUCGAAUGUAAAAACACUCGGCAAAGUCCUAAUUUCCAGUGGUGGGUGUGCUGGGACAAUUUAGAAAGCAAGCAACGAUUUCAUUUUGCGUUAGAUCACUCCCAUCCUCGAAGCCUCAGUUUUUUUUUUCAGAAAUAAGUUCCAGCUGUUGCUGCUGAGAACUAAAAGAAGCUUUUCACCCUUGAUUGAUCAAUGGAUUGGCUCUCUAGUUUAACAGGCUUCUUUGUUGUACUCUUUUUGCUCUUUUUUCCUUAGUUUUUUUGUUCCUUAGUUAAGACUCCACCCUACUGCCUCCUUAACUGUUGUGCUUUUUUUUUUGUAAAAGACCUUUUUUAUUAUAAUUUUUGCAUUGUUGUAGGGGUGCAAACCCCUCCAAUCUCCUUCAAAAAAUUCAAAAGUAAUAUAACCUUGCAGAACAAAGGACGGUAAUCCCACCAUUUUGCUAUGUGAGCCCACUCCUCUUAUUUUUUUUACUUUUAUUUUGAUUAUGCCCACUCCUGUUAAGCAGUCAUUUGUUCCAUUCCCUAAAUAUAUUUCUAUUUUUUAGAAUAUUCAAUAAGGCGUAUAUACAUUAUAUUUUAAGAAAUAAACUAUAUUCAAGACAAAUCUACCCACAUCAAUAUUACUUGUAUACAUUCAAAUAAACAUGUAGACAUAAUAAUUCGAUAGUUAAGGUUUCAAAAUGAUUGAAAUAAGACAACUUGAAAUAUGUCACAAUAAAAAAUUAUUUGUGGUCAAAGUUUCUGAAAUUAUUGACUUACGACAACGUACAUCCAAGUGUCACUUAAUUGCUUUGUGAGCAGAGGGAGUAUAUAUUUUGGCAAGUUACCCUCCAUCUAAAAAUAUAAAACACAUGUUUUUAGGACAGUAAGAUUUGACCAAUAGGUGCUUGUGCCAUUAAUAUGCAUAAAUCAUAGAUACUUUUGAAUACAAAUAUCUAGUUACAUCAAUUUGCUACCACAAAAUUGCAAGUAUCUUGGUUAAAGCCAUGUCUAACAAAACAUGAGCUUUGGGAUGGAUAUAUAUCAUAUUGGUGUGUACGUUUAGUAGUCUCUCUUCGUUUCAAUUUAUUAGAUGUUGUUUUGGCUUUUGUAGAUACAAAAAUUUUUUUAUGUAUCUAGAUAACGUUUAUUAUGAUAUAGAUAUAUCGUAUAUCUAUAUGCCUAAAAAACUGAAUAUCUAGAAAAACUAAAAUAACCUAUAAUUUAGGAUAGAGGGUGGUAAUAAUUAUACAUCUUCUGCUACCAAGUCCCUUAAUUACAGCACACAGCUCUGUUUUCUAGUUGCCUUGAUCGUUCAUCAGAUGAAUUAUGUAUUUGAAGAGUAGCGCGUGUGUGGUCAUGUCAUGAAAACGUGCUAGCUAGGUACUUGUUUUAAUUUCCACCGUGUGAGUAUUUUUUUUUUUCAAGUGGCGAGAGUUCAUUAAUUAAAUAAAACCAUUCAAUUUUUCAAAUCACAAUACGUUGUCUGCAAAUCCUCUGAGUCAGCCAGUUUUUCGUUACGUGCUAUACUCCGUCCAUUCUAAAUUAUGUUUUUUAAACUUUUUGGUAUAUUCAUUUUGCUACAUACUAAAAAAAUUAAAAAUAACUUAUAAUUUAGAACAGAAGAGGUAUAUAUAUAGUUGCAUAUAUGCUGACAAGUGUUUGGGGGAGAAUAGAGCAGUAACUCUCUUGACCAAGCGUUUGGGAGUCAUGGAACACAGUCACAUGGCGCAUGCAUGCGUAACAACAAUUUGGAAACAAAGAGAUGUGUGUGUGCAUGUAGCAGUGAUCGAACUAGUACAAACCACAGGAGCGAGAGGAAACGUACACGGACAUAAAUAAUAAACACCGCACAUAGUGCAUGCACUCAAAAAUAAACCCAACAAGCAAAAGUACAUCUCUCACACACACAUGUACACACGCACGUACGUACAUACGCUAAGAUGCAAGCGUAUCACAGCGUACACGACGACACGUACGUACAUACGGAGAGAUUUUUAUUCAGUAGUACGACGUAGCAGUAGUAGACAACUCAUCAUCUCAUCAUAUCAGGCGUAGAUAGAUACUCAUCCAUGGUCGAUGCUCCGGCGCCGAUCGACGACGACGGCGGCGGCGGCGGAAUGGAUCAUCGAUCGAUCGAUCAUCGUUUAGGUUUAGUUCACCCUGCAUGAUCAUGCAUGCAUGGAAGACGAAGCACAAGUUAAUUAAACGACUUGAUAUUCAAGUUGAAUCAGACCAUGCAUGCAUGCAAAGUUGCAAACAACUUGUAGUGAUUGGAUCAUUCAUUCAGAUCAUCACUUAAUUACCUGGAGCAGUCGGUGGAGGUGCUGAUGGUGUAGGGGACGCUGACGCCGCACUUGGAGGGGAUGCUGGCGGCGUUGCCGGCGUUGAGGCCGCUGAUGCCACGGGCGGCGUUCUUGAGGCAGUUGCAGGCGGCGCGCCUGUCGGCGGUGGUGCGGGCGGCGGAGUUGAGGCUCCUGACGCCGCUGCAGCAGCCUGCUGAGGGUGCGGAGCCCUGGCCCCGGGCGUAGGACAGGCAGGGCGCGAUGGCCGAGCUCACCUGCCCGCAGGAGAUGGCCGCCUCCGAGGUCGUCGCCGCCAGCACCACCACCGCCGCCGCCGCCACCACGGCGAUCGCCACAGCAAGCCGAGCCAUGUCGUCGAUGUUCUGGGGGUGUCUGAGACUUGCUUGUACUAGCUUUGGAAUGCAAGUGAGCAAGUGCUAGCCGCUGGUGAGGAGAGUGAGAUGGAGUGUGGCUCCUUAAAUAGGCAGGCUUGCGAUCGAUCUGAUCUGAUCUGAUCUGGGAGCUAGCUACAGUAGCUUGUCAUUGCUGAUGACAGAUGUGCAUGCAUGCACGGUGUUGUUGCAUUGCAUGCAGUUUCAGGCAGGCAGUCGGUGGAAUGGUGGAUGCAUGCAUAUGAAUGAAUGAAUAUGGUGGAUGUUCCAACAUCAUCUUCCAUGGACGACGGACGGUAUCGUCGCCAUCCGUCGAAGUUAAUUGCUGGGCAGGAGGUGGUUGGGUGUUGGGAGCAGGAGGCAGAUAGAUAC